AACAUGGACCCCUUGCGUCAAUUGUAUAACUUGUGUUACAUUACUAAUUGUAUAACAAAGUAAUCGAAUUGCUUGUUUUUGAAGCAAUCGUGUGUAAAUUUUAAGACAUCGAUUAAUUUAUUGUGGAAAGUGUAGGUUGGAGAAAUCGAAGUAAUCGCGAAAGUGUGUUACUGAAUCUAGUGGUUCGAGAAAAUACGUGUUCGAAGUUGUACGAGCAUAAUCAGGUUAGCUGAUCGACCGGCUGAUAUGUAUUCAUUGGGAUAAUUCAUUGUCAAGCAAUUCGUGUGUGCAAUAAGCGUCCAUAACAUCGGAGUUUGUCAAAGUCCGAAAUACGGAAAGCCAGUCAGAUCCAUGGAUGGUUCGUGAAAGUCAGGUUGGAUGGUGAAUCUUCUCGAUGAUGGAACGACGUCGUGACAAAUAUUUUGGAUGGAAUAACACACUGUCGACUUCAGUUUUGCUUGACGAGCCGAGAUUCCCUCUCACCUUACCUGUACCAUCAUUCUUAUCAUGCAAAUCGUGUAAACGGAUCGACAAAGGAAGAUGUUUCAAGAACCGACCAAACAUAAUCCACCAAUCUAUUAACGCCGAAUGGUGGACACUGAGAACACUGCACGUACUAUGUACUAACCUAGCCGAACGUGCCAUAAGUGUUAUUUCGAGAGCACACUGACGUCUAAUAGCAUUACCAGAGAAUCAGACGUGGGUGGCGCAGUAACCGCGACAGUCUCGUAAUCCUGAUUAAGCGCCGGGCUUGAAGAGCCG
rnacentral:lncRNA from 1 species